UACGUAGGGCGCAAGCGUUGUCCGGAAUUAUUGGGCGUAAAGAGCUCGUAGGCGGUUUGUCGCGUCUGCUGUGAAAACCUAAGGCUCAACCUUGGGCUUGCAGUGGGUACGGGCAGACUAGAGUGCGGUAGGGGUGACUGGAAUUCCUGGUGUAGCGGUGGAAUGCGCAGAUAUCAGGAGGAACACCGGUGGCGAAGGCGGGUCUCUGGGCCGUAACUGACGCUGAGGAGCGAAAGCGUGGGGAGCGAACAGG
rnacentral:rRNA from 1 species